rnacentral:rRNA from 1 species
UACGUAGGCAGCGAGCGUUGUUCGGAGUUACUGGGCGUAAAGGGUGUGUAGGCGGGUGUUUAAGUUUGGUGUGAAAUCUCCCGGCUCAACUGGGAGGGUGCGCCGAAAACUGGAAGGCUAGAGUGCGGGAUGGGAGAGUGGAAUUCCUGGUGUAGCGGGGAAAUGCGUAGAUAUCAGGAGGAACACCUGUGGUGUAGACGGCUCUCUGGACCGCAACUGACGCUGAGACACGAAAGCGUGGGUAGCAAACAGG